UGUCUUCGAGUCGUUGAUUUCACACUGCCGAGAAAAGCCUCUAGAUAGAAAAUAGGUGCCCGUACCGCAAACCGACACAGGUAGUCAAGAUGAGAAUUCUAAGGUGAGCGAGCGAACUCUCGUUAAGGAACUCGGCAAAAUGACCCCGUAACUUCGGGAGAAGGGGUGCUCUUUAGGGUUAACGCCCAGAAGAGCCGCAGUGAAUAGGCCCAAGCGACUGUUUAUCAAAAACACAGGUCUCUGCUAAACCGUAAGGUGAUGUAUAGGGGCUGACGCCUGCCCGGUGCUGGAAGGUUAAGAGGAGUGGUUAGCUUCUGCGAAGCUACGAAUCGAAGCCCCAGUAAACGGCGGCCGUAACUAUAACGGUCCUAAGGUAGCGAAAUUCCUUGUCGGGUAAGUUCCGACCCGCACGAAAGGCGUAACGAUUUGGGCACUGUCUCAACGAGAGACUCGGUGAAAUCAUAGUACCUGUGAAGAUGCAGGUUACCCGCGACAGGACGGAAAGACCCCGUGGAGCUUUACUGUAGCCUGAUAUUGAAAUUCGGCACAGCUUGUACAGGAUAGGUAGGAGCCUUUGAAACGUGAGCGCUAGCUUACGUGGAGGCGCUGGUGGGAUACUACCCUAGCUGUGUUGGCUUUCUAACCCGCACCACUUAUCGUGGUGGGAGACAGUGUCAGGCGGGCAGUUUGACUGGGGCGGUCGCCUCCUAAAAGGUAACGGAGGCGCUCAAAGGUUCCCUCAGAAUGGUUGGAAAUCAUUCAUAGAGUGUAAAGGCAUAAGGGAGCUUGACUGCGAGACCUACAAGUCGAGCAGGGUCGAAAGACGGACUUAGUGAUCCGGUGGUUCCGCAUGGAAGGGCCAUCGCUCAACGGAUAAAAGCUACCCCGGGGAUAACAGGCUUAUCUCCCCCAAGAGUUCACAUCGACGGGGAGGUUUGGCACCUCGAUGUCGGCUCAUCGCAUCCUGGGGCUGUAGUCGGUCCCAAGGGUUGGGCUGUUCGCCCAUUAAAGCGGUACGCGAGCUGGGUUCAGAACGUCGUGAGACAGUUCGGUCCCUAUCCGUCGUGGGCGUAGGAAAUUUGAGAGGAGCUGUCCUUAGUACGAGAGGACCGGGAUGGACAUACCUCUGGUGUACCAGUUGUCGUGCCAACGGCAUAGCUGGGUAGCUAUGUGUGGACGGGAUAAGUGCUGAAAGCAUCUAAGCAUGAAGCCCCCCUCAAGAUGAGAUUUCCCAACUUCGGUUAUAAGAUCCCUCAAAGAUGAUGAGGUUAAUAG
rnacentral:rRNA from 1 species